CCAGACUCCUACGGGAGGCAGCAGUGGGGGAUAUUGCACAAUGGGGGAAACCCUGAUGCAGCGACGCCGCGUGGGCGAAGAAGUAUUUCGGUAUGUAAAGCCCUAUCAGCAGGGAAGAAGAAAUGACGGUACCUGAGUAGGAAGCACCGGCUAAAUACGUGCCAGCAGCCGCGGUAAUACGUAUGGUGCAAGCGUUAUCCGGAUUUACUGGGUGUAAAGGGAGCGCAGGCGGCACGGCAAGCCUGAUGUGAAAGCCCGCGGCCCAACCGCGGGACUGCAUUGGGAACUACCGGGCUGGAGUGCCGGAGAGGUAGGCGGAAUUCCUAGUGUAGCGGUGAAAUGCGUAGAUAUCAGGAGGAACACCGGCGGCGGAGGCGGCCUGCUGGACCGCGACUGACGUUGAGGCUCGAAAGCGUGGGGAGCAAACAGGAUUAGAUACCCCUGUA
rnacentral:rRNA from 1 species